UUAAAUUCAGGGGGUCUUCCCACUUCAUCUGAGGUCUAAUUCAUAAGUUGAUCAAACCUGUUUGCACAGAUUCUUUCAGUUGUUUCUUAUGGCUACCCAACAUAGGGUUCAUGGAUUGGAUUCACAAUUAAGUGAAAGCAACUUGCCACGAACACACACAGUCGUGCGGCUGAGAUUUAAAAGGAAAGAAGCCGAGACCC
rnacentral:misc_RNA from 1 species